rnacentral:rRNA from 1 species
GAUGAACGCUGGCGGCGUGCCUAAUACAUGCAAGUCGAGCGAACAGACGAGGAGCUUGCUCCUCUGACGUUAGCGGCGGACGGGUGAGUAACACGUGGAUAACCUACCUUUAAGACUGGGAUAACUUCGGGAAACCGGAGCUAAUACCGGAUAAUAUAUUGAACCGCAUGGUUCAAGAGUGAAAGACGGUUUUGCUGUCCCUUAUAGAUGGAUCCGCGCCGCAUUAGCUAGUUGGUAAGUUAACGGCUUACCAAGGCAACGAUGCGUAGCCGACCUGAGAGGGUGAUCGGCCACACUGGAACUGAGACACGGUCCAGACUCCUACGGGAGGCAGCAGUAGGGAAUCUUCCGAAAAGGGCGAAAGCCUGACGGAGCAACGCCGCGUGAGUGAUGAAGGUCUUCGGAUCGUAAAACUCUGUUAUUAGGGAAGAACAAAUGUGUAAGUAACUAUGCACGUCUUGACGGUACCUAAUCAGAAAGCCACGGCUAACUACGUG